rnacentral:rRNA from 1 species
AUGCGAAGCUCUAGGAUGGCGCACUCCGGGUCCCCGCCGACCGGCUCAAGCGGGGUGAGUGGCCGCAGCGGCCGUCGAGGCCGCCUCCGUCUGCGUGCACCUCAACUGCUCAACCUGGCGGCCAUCAUCGAGUUUGGUGCACUCCGGGUCCGCGCUGACCUACUCAACGGGGCGACGUGGGCGGAGAGCGAGCGCCGCCUGCUUGCCCGCGCCGCCGCGGCGAGCGCGGACGUCGAGGCCGCCUCCGUCUGCGCGCACCUAGCCGCCGUCCAUGGCCACUGCUGUGGCUGCUCUAGUCGCUGGGUGCGGCUAUCACCUCCGAUGCGGCUGGGCGUCCUUGUCGCAGCCACAGCCGGGGGGCAGCGCACCCUAUGCCUGCAAGAUUGUGGAGGCGCACUACUCGAUGACGGGCGUGGCGGUCCUCCACAUCAUGUUUUGCUGCAAGGCUGCAGGGAGUCCAUGCUCGUCGUUGUUCGCCAGGUGAUGCCGCAGCCGCAGGUCGAGCUUGACCACCACGGUGGCGAACUGCAAAAGACAUUUGGAUCCUUUUCCACUGCAGAUGUGUACAAAGUCAUGGCGAUGCAAGAUGCCACACAGAUGUAUAAUGCAACGGAGUCUCCAACUCUCUCUUCUGGUACGUCCAUGACACCCAUUAGUCAGUUCAGCUACUAA